rnacentral:rRNA from 1 species
AGAGUUUGAUCCUGGCUCAGGAUGAACGCUAGCGGCAGGCUUAACACAUGCAAGUCGAGGGGUAACAGAGGAAAGCUUGCUUUCUUGCUGACGACCGGCGCACGGGUGAGUAACGCGUAUACAAUCUACCUUAUACUAGGGGAUAGCCUUUAGAAAUGAAGAUUAAUACCCUAUAGUCUAUUAAUAUAGCAUUAUAUAAAAAUAGUAAAGGUUACGGUAUAAGAUGAGUAUGCGUCCUAUUAGUUUGUUGGUAAGGUAACGGCUUACCAAGACAGCGAUAGGUAGGGGCCCUGAGAGGGGGAUCCCCCACACUGGUACUGAGACACGGACCAGACUCCUACGGGAGGCAGCAGUGAGGAAUAUUGGACAAUGGAGGCAACUCUGAUCCAGCCAUGCCGCGUGCAGGAAGACUGCCCUAUGGGUUGUAAACUGCUUUUAUACAGGAAGAAACACUCCCUCGUGAGGGAGCUUGACGGUACUGUAAGAAUAAGGAUCGGCUAACUCCGUGCCAGCAGCCGCGGUAAUACGGAGGAUCCAAGCGUUAUCCGGAAUCAUUGGGUUUAAAGGGUCCGUAGGUGGAUAAUUUAGUCAGAGGUGAAAUCCUGCAGCUUAACUGUAGAAUUGCCUUUGAUACUGGUUAUCUUGAGUUAUUAUGAAGUAGUUAGAAUAUGUAGUGUAGCGGUGAAAUGCAUAGAUAUUACAUAGAAUACCAAUUGCGAAGGCAGAUUACUAAUAAUAUACUGACACUGAGGGACGAAAGCGUGGGGAGCGAACAGGAUUAGAUACCCUGGUAGUCCACGCCGUAAACGAUGGAUACUAGCUGUUCGCGGAUUUAUCUGAGUGGCUAAGCGAAAGUGAUAAGUAUCCCACCUGGGGAGUACGUUCGCAAGAAUGAAACUCAAAGGAAUUGACGGGGGCCCGCACAAGCGGUGGAGCAUGUGGUUUAAUUCGAUGAUACGCGAGGAACCUUACCAGGGCUUAAAUGUAUUGUGACAGGGAUGGAAACAUCUUUUUCUUCGGACACAUUACAAGGUGCUGCAUGGUUGUCGUCAGCUCGUGCCGUGAGGUGUCAGGUUAAGUCCUAUAACGAGCGCAACCCCUGUUGUUAGUUGCCAGCGAGUCAUGUCGGGGACUCUAACAAGACUGCCGGUGCAAACCGUGAGGAAGGUGGGGAUGACGUCAAAUCAUCACGGCCCUUACGUCCUGGGCCACACACGUGCUACAAUGGCCGGUACAGAGAGCAGCCACUAGGCGAGGUGGAGCG